AACGCUGGCGGCGUGCCUAAUACAUGCAAGUCGAACGGUCUUUUCUAUGGAAGCUUGCUUCCACUGAGAAGAUAGUGGCGAACGGGUGAGUAACACGCGGGUAACCUGCCCAUAAGAGGGGGAUAACAUCCGGAAACGGGUGCUAAUACCGCAUAGUUUUCUUGAUCGCAUGAUCGGGAAAGGAAAGACGGCCUUUGUGCUGUCGCUUAUGGAUGGACCCGCGGCGUAUUAGUUAGUUGGUGAGGUAACGGCUCACCAAGACGAUGAUACGUAGCCGACCUGAGAGGGUGAUCGGCCACAUUGGGACUGAGACACGGCCCAAACUCCUACGGGAGGCAGCAGUAGGGAAUCUUCCGCAAUGGACGAAAGUCUGACGGAGCAACGCCGUGUGAGUGAAAGAAGGUUUUCGGAUCGUAAAACUCUGUUGUCAGAGAAGAACAAGUUGGAGAGUAACUGCUCCAGCCUUGACGGUACCUGACCAGAAAGCCACGGCUAACUACGUGCCAGCCGCAGC
rnacentral:rRNA from 1 species